UGAGGAACAUGACUUUCGGUGGGGAUAGCCGGCCCAACGGCCGGGUAAUACCGCGUACGACCUUUUGGGGACAUCCUUGAUUGGUGAAAGCAGCAAUGCGCCGAAAGAGUGCCUCGCGGCCUAUCAGCUAGUUGGUGGGGUAAUGGCUCACCAAGGCAACGAUGCGUAGCCGACCUGAGAGGGUGAUCGGCCACAUUGGAACUGAGACACGGUCCAGACUCCGUACGGGGAGG
rnacentral:rRNA from 1 species